rnacentral:lncRNA from 1 species
AAGCAGAGCCUGUGACUGGACUGAAGCCAAUGUUCUUUAAAAGUUCACAUGCCUUGUAUUGGCUCUCUAAUUCAGACUCCUUCUGACCAAACAAAGGGGGAGGGGGAAUGAAAAAUAGUAGCAGCUGUUUCAGUAAAAAAUUCUAAGGGUUAACAUAACAUGAUGUAAACUAUUUCUUGUGUUCUUCCUACUUGCCCAUUUUAAUCAGAAACGAGUAAGAAGAGCCUUAUAUGCAGUGAACUUGAAGAAUGCUAAUGGGAUGUCUGCAUCGCGUUGUACUUGGAGUACUUAUGCCAGAAUAGGAAAGCCUUUUAUUCUGUAAUUCUCUGAGGCAAGAACGAGGCUUUCUGAAGAGUUACUUUAAAUUUAAACUCUCAUUCUAAUGUUAGACAGCCUGUUGGAUCUCUGAGUUAAAAAUUGCUUCAGCUUUAGUUACUAGAGCCAGAUGUAACAUUGACCUUAAAUGGUAAAAGCUCCCAAGAGUGAAAGAGAGGCUGGCCUGAGAGGAAAAAGAGGAAUAACUGAAGUUUUAGAGCAUUUGAGGUCAACUGCCAAGCUAUCAGUGGAGAUGGAGUAAAGCACCUUUAUCUAAGCCUUUGCUAACACGGUACUCAGCCGUGACUCAGAGAGGGUGUAAAACACUCGUGCAGACUAAGAUUGUAGAUCUUCGCCCACAUCCACUCUUCUUGUGACAUGUGAGUUAAUCUCUGCAAAUAUUUAAUUUUUAAAAGGUAAUUUUGAAGCUUCUGCAGUUUCUAAAAGACUGGAAUUUGGGGUGGGGGGAUAGAGGGCAGGGUGUCAUUUACUCUGA